CAAGAGCGUAUGUAAAAGUUGUUGCAGUUAAAAAGCUCGUAGUUGAACCUUGGGUUUGGUUGGCCGGUCCGCUUUUUUGCGAGUACUGGAUUCAACCGAGCCUUUCCUUCUGGCUAACCAGUCGUUUCGGCGGCUGGCGAACCAGGAUUUUUACUUUGAGAAAAUUAGAGUGUUCAAAGCAGGCAUUAGCUUGAAUAUAUUAGCAUGGAAUAAUAGAAUAGGACGUUAUGGUUCUAUUUUGUUGGUUUCUAGGACCAUCGUAAUGAUUAGUAGGGACGGUCGGGGGCAUCAGUAUUCAGUUGUCAGAGGUGAAAUUCUUGGAUUUACUGAAGACUAACUACUGCGAAAGCAUUUGCCAAGGACGUUUUCAUUAA
rnacentral:rRNA from 1 species